rnacentral:rRNA from 1 species
GACGAACGCUGGCGGCGUGCUUAACACAUGCAAGUCGAACGGUGAAGCGCCUUCCUUUUUGGUGGGUGUGGAUGAGUGGCGAACGGGUGAGUAACACGUGAGUAACCUGCCCCCUUCUUCUGGAUAACCGCAUGAAAGUGUGGCUAAUACGGGAUAUUCUGGGUCUGUCGCAUGAUGGGUCUGGGAAAGAUAUUGUUUCGGUGGGGGAUGGGCUCGCGGCCUAUCAGCUUGUUGGUGGGGUGAUGGCCUACCAAGGCGGUGACGGGUAGCCGGCCUGAGAGGGUGGACGGUCACACUGGGACUGAGACACGGCCCAGACUCCUACGGGAGGCAGCAGUGGGGAAUAUUGCACAAUGGGCGCAAGCCUGAUGCAGCGACGCCGCGUGAGGGAUGGAGGCCUUCGGGUUGUGAACCUCUUUCGCCAGUGAAGCAGGCCUGCCUCGUUUGUGGGUGGGUUGACGGUUGCUGGAUAAGAAGCGCCGGCUAACUACGUG